UUUUGCGAUUCACUUACAAAAUCAACAAAGAGAAGAUUAAUUGCCGAUUCAUUCUUGAUCGUCAUCAUCAACUGAUUAUUAAGGAUCAAUUAUAACCCAUCACAAUUUUAAAAACCAACUUGGAGAUUAGCGAUCGAAGAUUCCGAUAUUCAAAGAUCAAUGAUUCAGGUUGCAGGCAACAGAGACAAAAAUGAUAACGGCCACCAAAAACACCGGAAUCGACGGUAGUGCCCAAGUCCCAUUCCCAGCGGCAGAGGUAACAAGCAUCCGGACAACCGACCCAAGGCGCCAACUGAUUUCCGGCAAGAAAUUCCGGUGAAGAAGAUGAUGGAUGUGGUAGCCAGAAAUUAAAGGUGGGGGCCAGUGGGAUUGUCGGAAAAUAAGGGAAGAAGACCGGUGGGGUUGUUAGAAAGAGAGAGACGGUGGAGGGGGUUACUUACCUCGAACACCAGUCUAGAUGAUUCUUGGGUGAGACUCUCGAGAGGCUUACUAUGUGUGGAUGUAUGAGAUGACUCGUCUUCGCUUGCGGAUGGACUCCACUUCAACCAACUCAGUGAGUCUCAUGUUCUAUCUCCCCCUGACCACUGAGAUGGGACUGAUAGUAAUAUUCUGUUUCAAGAAAGUCGCAGUGGACAGUGGUAAUCACACGAUGUCGUAAUGGGUUAUAGCAUCAGUAUCCUUUCUGAUUCAUCUCAUAACCAACAAAGACA
rnacentral:lncRNA from 1 species